GCCCCGGUAGCUUAGUGGUGGAGCGCGCGGCUGUUAACCGCGAGGUCGCCGGUUCGAAUCCGGCCCGGGGCG
rnacentral:tRNA from 1 species